GACGAACGCUGGCGGCGUGCCUAACACAUGCAAGUCGAGCGAUGAAGUUCUUCGGAACGGAUUAGCGGCGGACGGGUGAGUAACGCGUGAGCAAUCUGCCUUACACAAAGGGAUAGCCUCGGGAAACUGGGAUUAAUACCAUAUGACACUUGGUAAUCGCAUGAGGACCAAGUCAAAGAUUUUAUCGGUGUAAGAUGAGCUCGCGUCUGAUUAGCUAGUUGGUGGGUAAAGGCCUACCAAGGCGACGAUCAGUAGCCGGCCUGAGAGGGUGAACGGCCACACUGGAACUGAGACACGGUCCAGACUCCUACGGGAGGCAGCAGUGGGGAAUAUUGCACAAUGGGCGCAAGCCUGAUGCAGCGACGCCGCGUGAGCGAAGAAGGUUUUCGGAUCGUAAAAGCUCUGUCCUCUGGGAAGAAAAAAAAUAGGACGGUACCAGAGGAGGAAGCCCCGGCUAACUACGUGCCAGCAGCCGCGGUAAAAGUACUCUAAU
rnacentral:rRNA from 1 species